rnacentral:rRNA from 1 species
CCUACGGGUGGCAGCAGUGAGGAAUAUUGGUCAAUGGUCGGAAGACUGAACCAGCCAAGCCGCGUGAGGGAAGAAGGUACUAUGUAUCGUAAACCUCUUUUGUCAGGGCGCAAACACUGGGACGCGUCCCCGGAUGAGUGUACCUUACGAAAAAGCAUCGGCUAACUCCGUGCCAGCAGCCGCGGUAAUACGGAGGAUUCGAGCGUUAUCCGGAUUUAUUGGGUUUAAAGGGUGCGCAGGCGGUCGGAUAAGUUAGAGGUGAAAACCCGGGGCUCAACCCCGGGCUUGCCGUUGAAACUGUGAGUCUAGAGUGGGGUAGAAGUAGGCGGAAUGCGUGGUGUAGCGGUGAAAUGCUUAGAGAUCGCGCAGAACACCGAUUGCGAAGGCAGCAUGCCGGAUCCACACUGACGCUGAGGCACGAAAGCGUGGGGAUCGAACAGGAUUAGAUACCCCAGUAGUC